UAUUUCAACAGCAGUAGAGCCGUUUUUGACUCAAUCAUGUGCUAUGUUUUAUUUGCAAUUUCAAAUAAUUUAUUGCAGAUCCAGAAUACCUGUAACCAUAUUUCCGUAUUUGUAACUGUGUUUCUUUUCACAUAUCUAAGAGUACACUUCACAUCCUAGAACCCAUAAAAUGUAUGAUGCUACCUUAAAUGUUUAAUAGUUUUAUUAUAUUUAUUAAUAAUAUUUAAAAUAAACAGCGCUUAUUGACUUCAAUGACUUCUUUAUUGACACUUAGAAAAGAUUUGACAGAACUACAUACCCAUCUGAGGCCUACCUGUUUUAAUUCAUGAUCCCCCCGGAUACUUCUACAACUAACCUGCUUGGUGUCUGAUGCUGAUGCAGUCUGGGCACUAGUAUCUGUUGGCUUGCUGACUAUCACUGACGAUGAAGUACUUCUCCAAAUCUUGACCCAGUGUCUUCUGCCAUCAUUGUUCAGGGUAGUACUGCAAAGAAUAGUCUCCAGGGUCUGCCUCCAACAUUUGCUUCCCGACCACCAUGUGCUACGCUUGCAUCACUACAUGUGGGUUACCCUGAUACUGUGAAGAAAACCUACAAUAUGAUGCUUGACUUGGGACAGAAAAAAAAAACAUUGGCAACUUGUGUGGCCAACUCAUUGCCGUAUUUAAAAUCAUUGUACUGCUACCUCCAUUGUUUAACAUAACUAAAAGCAGAUUGUUUUUGCUUUGUUUCAAAAUUUUUGUAAUACGAGUUAAAACUACAUUGAAAAAAAUAUAUCAUCUUUAACUUUGAACUGUCACUACAUUUGAUUUAGGGUAAUUAUGUGUGUGAAGAAUAGAACAUUGUUGUCAUGAAUUUGUAAUAGAUUUUUGAAGUAUUUAAGUUACUAGAGUAAUGGUAACUUUUUUUUUUAAAGGCAAUUGGUCAAAACUAGAUUUCUGUUCAAGUAAAUACAACUUAGAAAUUCCAAGUUGCAGGAAAUGUUACUUGAUUUAGCUAAAUUUAAAUGAGUUGUUUGAAAUACGUACAUAGUAUAAUGUACUUAAUUUAGUUGUUGGAAAUAGUAAUUCUGAGUUACACGUUUACAACACUUAUAAAUAAACCUUUGUUAGUACAAAUUACUAUUCUUAUUUCACUUUACUUGUUUUUUUUUAAGGUUUACUCAUUAUAAUUUACAGUGCAGACAAGCACAUGCCCAGUGCACACUAGUGAGAUAAAUUCAAAACACUGUAAUUGUAAUAAAGUACUGUAACUAUACUGUA